AUUGAACGCUGGCGGCAUGCCUUACACAUGCAAGUCGAACGGCAGCACGGGUGCUUGCACCUGGUGGCGAGUGGCGAACGGGUGAGUAAUACAUCGGAACAUGUCCUGUAGUGGGGGAUAGCCCGGCGAAAGCCGGAUUAAUACCGCAUACGAUCUACGGAUGAAAGCGGGGGACCUUCGGGCCUCGCGCUAUAGGGUUGGCCGAUGGCUGAUUAGCUAGUUGGUGGGGUAAAGGCCUACCAAGGCGACGAUCAGUAGCUGGUCUGAGAGGACGACCAGCCACACUGGAACUGAGACACGGCCCAGACGCCUACGGGAGGCAGCAGUGGGGAAUUUUGGACAAUGGGCGAAAGCCUGAUCCAGCAAUGCCGCGUGUGUGAAGAAGGCCUUCGGGUGGUAAAGCACUUUUGUCCGGAAAGAAAUCCUUGGCCCUAAUACGGUCGGGGGAUGACGGUACCGGAAGAAUAAGCACCGGCUAACUACGU
rnacentral:rRNA from 1 species